AAAAAAAAAAAAAAACUUAUUUAUCAUUUCAUAGUUUUCCCACCUACGAAAAUAAAAAUAAGCGUUGAAUUGGGCUAUAUGGUGAGAGGAGGAGACGACAAUUACUCUGAGGAAAGGUACUUUAGUGUGUGCUAAGCCCUUCACGGAGGAUGAGGUCCGUGUCCAACCGGAGUACGGUCGAUCUCGCACCGUGGGCUGUGCCUUCCAGGUUUGCGUGGAAAAGUUGCGGAGACGUUAAAUCACGCGUCAUAACGGGCUGUUUGUGGUGCAGAGCAGUAAAUGUCCAGAUGGUCCAGUCCCAGGCUCCGUGGCCGUGCACAAACGUAGUGACGAACUUCCGCUGUCGCCAGAAGUCGACCAAGUAUAGGUCUCUGCAGGAAAGUAAUUUGUGGUUUUAAGAAUUUGUGGUCAGAUAUAAAUAAAUAUGUAAUUCCUAAUAAAGUUAAAGAAACUCACUUUAAAAUAAUAAACAGAUACUAUCCAUGUAAUGAUUUUAUUGGUAAGUUUAAAGAAGGGUUUUUGCCAUUAUGUAGUUUCUGUAAAGAAGAAAAUGAAACAAUUGUACACUUAUUUUUCAGUUGUAAUUAUACUAAAUUAUUUUGGUCCCAAGUUUCUUGGUUUCUUUUUGAGUUAUUUUAUAAGUUUGUCACAAUAACCGAUGUUAAUGGUCUUGUUUAUGGAUUGUGAUACUGGUUUAAUCCAGGGGAAGUCGUGGCCUAAUGGUUAGAGAGUCCGACUCCCAAUCGAAAGGUUCUGAGUUCGAGUCCCGGGCCGGCAGGAAUUGUGGGUGGGAGUGCAUGUACAAUUCUCUCUCCACCUUCAAUACCACGACUUAGGUGCCCUUGAGCAAGGCAUUGAACCCCCAACUGCUCCCCGGGUGCCGCAGCAUAAAUGGCUGCCCACUGCUCCGGGUGUGUGUGUUCACUGCUCUGUGUGUGUGCACUUCGGGUGGGUUAAAUGCAGAGCAUUGGGUCACCAUACUUGGCUGAAUGUCACUUCACUUCACUUUUUUUUUGUUGGAAAUGGAUACUAUUAUUAAACUUCUUACUCUGUUAGGAAAAUAUCAUACAUAAAGCAAAAUGUAUAUCGACUGUACCAAAUGGUAGACUUCUGAAGAUUUUUUUACGACUCUCUAACUUCAAUACAGAAUAAUCGAAAAGCUCUAAAGACAUUUAAACUGCUGAAAAGGAUACUUAAUGUAUUAGAAACAUGAUUGAUAUGUUAUACAGUAUGCAUCUUAUUGCUUUACAGAUUCACAUGUCUCUGUUUUCCCCUUUUUUGUUAUCUCAAAAAAAAAAAAAGUAAUGGGAGAUCAAGGUGUUUUUACACCAUGAUACCUGAUUAGUUGAUGUAAUAGUGACGUUAGGUUUAGGGGUGGGGUUGGGUAAGGGGGAUCAUUUAGAUUGCAUGAUUCAGAAACACCCAGCAGUUUCAAAACACCCACAUGGUGAUUUUGUUAAAUUGAUUUCAUAAAAUGUUAUCCUCCACUGCAAAUUGUCUUGCAAGUCAAGGGGGUUGAAUAAUUUGGAACACAACUGUAUAUUGUCUGUGUGAGAGGAAUCAAACAAUCAUAUCCUGCUAUCGUUUACUCUUCCUCAGCCUGAAAGUGUUUUUUUUUUCUGCUGAACACUAAAGAAGAUGUUUUUUGAGAGUGAACAGUUGACGGCACCCAUUGACUUCUAUGCUACAGGAAGAAAUACUAUGGAAGUGAAUGGGUACCGUCAACCGUUUGGUCUUUAAAGCAUCAUCUUUUUAGCAUUCAGCAGAAGACAGAAACUCGUACAAAAAAUAUAUAAUUUUUACAUUUUAUUUAAAGAAAUAAAUAUAUAAAAUAAGCUCACACAGUUUAACAUUUAUUCCCAAAGCAACCAACUAUGUGUCAUUGUUGUUAACUAAGACUGAAACAACUAAAAACAGUUUUCUGUAAUUGAAAUAAAGCUAAAGUAAAAUGAUAUAGAUAAGUCGUGUAAGCUACUACUAAAUAUGGGAGAAACUUAUUUUCUGUAAAGUUGCUUUGCAAUGAUUUGUAAAGUAAAAAGCACUAAUUUUAGUACUGUUUUCAUUUAAUUUAUAAAGUAGUAACUUUUUACAAAAAAAGUUGAAAUGCUAAAAUUAUUAAAACUGACAUAACAUAAAGGCUAAAAAAAAAAUUAAUAAAAACUAAUUCCUAAACCUCAAACUGCAACCAUGAGGCUAAAAGCUAUGCCAUUUGUCACUCUGAGAAAGUGCUGUAACAGUUUAUAAAGACCUUGAUGUUGUUUGGACACCAGAACCGUGUGUGUGUGUGUGUGUGUGUGUCCACCUAGAUGUUCCCGUGUUUGGCUCCUGGGAUGAUCUGAAUCCUCUCAAAGUCCCUCCCCAGGAUGAUGAUGUCACAGCCAGAGUAGUACGCCUGUCUGACACUGAUAAUCACAGAGAGUUCUACAUAUCAUCUGAAUGUAAUGUUUUGCUACAUUUUUAUUUAUUUAUUUUCUAAUUGAGGAAUCAGAGUUUUAAAUGUUUUCAUUUACGGUUAAUAAUCUCUGCUGCUGCUGUUACACUCACAGUCACGAACAGCUUGAAUCAUCUGGACUUUUUGUUUUAUAUUAUUUCUUAACAUAUCAGACAAUAUCUGCCUUCAUAUUGCAUGCAUCUUGUUUAUACUCACUUAUAAACUUUUGUUUGCCCUUUUUGUUGUUUUUCGUUGUGUUGUUUUUUUAUCCUCAUUUGUAAGUCGCUUUGGAUAAAAGCGUCUGCUGAAUGAAUAAAUGUAAAUGUAAAUUUAUCAAAUUAUGGCUUCGUUUCCUUACAUGAUUAUCGAAAUAUUCAACUCAAAUAAACACCUGUAUGAUGCAGUAUUAGAAUUUAAUUUGGGGUCCUGAAAUAACCUGAACACUGCACAGAGGUUAAGAUGACCAUUUCUACAAAAAUAAAAUAAAAAUUGAAACUCAUCCUAUUUUGUUUUAAUUUUCCCUUACUAAAUUAUACAGUUACUGAUGCUAUGGACUGUGGGAUUACUAACAGGCUAUUGACAAAAAUCUGUCUCUAAAACUCUUUUCUCUUUAUUAAAAGUUGAUCUGGACAAGUACAUGAUAGAAUCAAAUGUUUUGCAAAUCCGCUGGAAAGACCAGAUCUCAAAUGAUUCGCGAAAUGCGCUUCGGAGUCCCGAUCUGAAUCAAAUGUUUUGCCGACUCGCUCCGAAGCCCCGAUCAAAUGAUUCGCGAAAUGCGCUUCGGAGUCCCGAUCUGAAUCAAAUGUUUUGCCGACUCGCUCCGAAGCCCCGAUCAGAUGAUUCGCUAAAUGCGCUUCGGAGUCCCGAUCUGAAUCAAAUGUUUUGCCGACUCGCUCCGAAGCACCGAUCAAAUUAUUCGCGAAAUGCGCUUCGGAGUCCCGAUCUGAAUCAAAUGUUUUGCCGACUCGCUCCGAAGCCCCGAUCAAAUGAUUCGCUAAAUGCGCUUCGGAGUCCCGAUCUGAAUCAAAUGUUUUGCCGACUCGCUCCGAAGCCCCGAUCAAAUUAUUCGCGAAACGCGCUUCGGAGUCCGGAUCUGAAUCAAAUGUUUUGCGAACUCCGAAGGCCCGAUCAUAAGAUUCGCGAAACGAUCUUCGGAGUCGCGAUAUGAAUCAAAUGUUUUGCGAACUCGCUCCAAAUCCCUGAUCUCAAGUUAUUUUCCAGUGAAAGCGCUACAGCGUUCAUUCGCUUGCCGAAAAAUAGCGGAGACCAAAAGUAUUCAGAUGUGUAUAGUGUGCCUUUGUGUUCUAAUUAAAAAAAAAAAAAAAAAACUUAUUUAUCAUUUCAUAGUUUUCCCACCUACGAAAAUAAAAAUAAGCGUUGAAUUGGGCUAUAUGGUGAGAGGAGGAGACGACAAUUACUCUGAGGAAAGGUACUUUAGUGUGUGCUAAGCCCUUCACGGAGGAUGAGGUCCGUGUCCAACCGGAGUACGGUCGAUCUCGCACCGUGGGCUGUGCCUUCCAGGUUUGCGUGGAAAAGUUGCGGAGACGUUAAAUCACGCGUCAUAACGGGCUGUUUGUGGUGCAGAGCAGUAAAUGUCCAGAUGGUCCAGUCCCAGGCUCCGUGGCCGUGCACAAACGUAGUGACGAACUUCCGCUGUCGCCAGAAGUCGACCAAGUAUAGGUCUCUGCAGGAAAGUAAUUUGUGGUUUUAAGAAUUUGUGGUCAGAUAUAAAUAAAUAUGUAAUUCCUAAUAAAGUUAAAGAAACUCACUUUAAAAUAAUAAACAGAUACUAUCCAUGUAAUGAUUUUAUUGGUAAGUUUAAAGAAGGGUUUUUGCCAUUAUGUAGUUUCUGUAAAGAAGAAAAUGAAACAAUUGUACACUUAUUUUUCAGUUGUAAUUAUACUAAAUUAUUUUGGUCCCAAGUUUCUUGGUUUCUUUUUGAGUUAUUUUAUAAGUUUGUCACAAU